rnacentral:rRNA from 1 species
UGGGGAAUAUUGCGCAAUGGGCGAAAGCCUGACGCAGCAACGCCGCGUGAGGGAUGACGGCCUUCGGGUUGUAAACCUCUUUCAGCGCUGACGAAGCUUUCGGGUGACGGUAGGCGCAGAAGAAGCACCGGCUAACUACGUGCCAGCAGCCGCGGUAAUACGUAGGGUGCGAGCGUUGUCCGGAAUUAUUGGGCGUAAAGGGCUCGUAGGCGGUUUGUCGCGUCUGCUGUGAAAGCCCGGGGCUUAACCCCGGGUCUGCAGUGGAUACGGGCAGGCUAGAGUCCGGCAGGGGAGACUGGAAUUCCUGGUGUAGCGGUGGAAUGCGCAGAUAUCAGGAGGAACACCGGUGGCGAAGGCGGGUCUCUGGGCCGGUACUGACGCUGAGGAGCGAAAGCGUGGGGAGCGAA